rnacentral:rRNA from 1 species
AUUGAACGCUGGCGGCAGGCCUAACACAUGCAAGUCGAACGAGUGGCGGACGGGUGAGUCAUGUCUGGGAAACUGCACGAUGGAGGGGGAUGACUACUGGAAACGGUAGCUAAUACCGCAUACCAUCGGAUGUGCCCAGAGUGGAUUAGCGAGGAGGUGGGGUAACGGCUCACCUAGGCGACGAUCCCUAGCCGGUCUGAGAGGAUGACCAGCCACACUGGAACUGAGACACGGUCCAGACUCCUACGGGAGGCAGCAGUGGGGAAUAUUGCACAAUGGGCGCAAGCCUGAUGCAGCCAGGCCGCGUGUAUGAAGCAGGCCUUCGGGUUGUAAAGUACUGUCAGCGAGGAGGCGUUACUCGCAGAAGAAGCACCGGCUAACUCCGUGCCAGCAGCCGCGGUAAUUC